GACGAACGCUGGCGGCGUGCCUAACACAUGCAAGUCGAACGGAAAGGCCCUGCCUUUUUGGGCUGCGCGAGUUGCGAACGGGUAAGUAACACGUGAGUACCGUGCCCUUCACUUUGGGGUAACUUCAGGAAACUUGGGCUAAUACCAGCUAAGAUCUCCUGCUGCAUGGUGGGGGUUGGAUAGUUUCGGCGGUUGGGGAUGGAAUCGCGGCCUAUCAGCUUGUUGGUGGGGUAGUGGGUGACCAAGGCUUGGCAGGGUAGCCGGCCUGGGCGGGUGAGCGGCCACACUGCGACUGAGCUGCGGCACAGACUCCUACGGGAGGCAGGGGUGGGGAAUAUAGUACAAUACGCGGGAGGCUGAUCUAACACAGCAGCGUGCGGGAUGUCGGGAAUCGCGUAGGAAACCAAUGUCGUCUGAGACGAGGUGAGAGUGACGGUACUGGGUGAAGAAGCACCGGCUAACUACGUG
rnacentral:rRNA from 1 species